CUUGUUUACGUAUAAAUCGCAAGAAUUUUAUAUACGAUAUUAUCUUGGGAUCACAGGUGUUGCUGAAUAAAAGGCACAGUAGGUAUCGAGUAAUUUAUGAACAGUAUCGAAGGUGAUAGGGGAACAGAAAGUAUAUCGAGGCCCUAUUUCAACAGUUAAGAGUUAAUAAGGAAGGCACGGCACACUUUAUUCCCUCUGUAUGAGCAGAAAGUGUGGCAUCGCUGGAAAAUGUUUUUCCGAUAGGAAACUUACGAUAUUUCCUCGUAAAUCUACGGGAUCAAAAUUGAAAUACUGCAGGAAAUAUUCAAGAUUGAAUCCUCCACUUCCGGGGUACCCGGUAUUAUUCAACCUCUCGUAACUCGGAAACGAAGGCUCAGAUUGAAAAGCGGUAAAGGACCUUUUCGACGUAUUUUAUUACACCGAAUUUAUAGAUCGUAUCGCGUACAUCUACUUUCAGACAUCCUGUGCGUUUCGAGGUCUGUUACGCUCGUCACGCUCAGAAUGCAGAGCAAACGCGUCCCGUUGCGUUUUUCAAAUGUCGUUUGCUUGUUAUUCACUCCGGUCUCGUGCCAAACCGGCAACGAGAAAGGUGGAGGGACGAGAGGGUAAGAAACAGAACAGCUAUGUUUUGUUUCCUCUCUUUCUACCGUAUAAACAACCCCUUUCGACCGUUCCUCGAGAUCGUUCCGUGCCUUCGGGGCGAAAAUGCAGUUUACACAAAGAGUGCAGAAGCAACGGGUGAACCGACGAAACAGCACGCUUUGGAGAUUUCAAUCCACGACCGAUCGUUUCCCCGACUAUUUUCUUCGCCGCUUCCCUCGUGUCUCGAGGAAAAUUUAUUAGAACGAGAAAAUACCCGUUUGCGGGAAACGGUUGAGACAUUAAGCGUGCUUUCUCAACGCGUUAUUUGACCCCGAGAGCCAACCGUUUUAUCACUCUGUACAAAGUAAACCACUUAAACCAUUAAAAGUGACAAAUUACAAUCUUAAGUGCCAUUGAAGAGGCUGAUGAAAGUUGAUUCGGAUUAAUUUAACCAAUUCAAGGCGGAUGCCGCACCUGGUGCGUCUUAUGCUGUUUAUCUAACGGAACUAACGACGCACCAGAUGCGUCUUGGGGAAAAAUGCUAUUAUCGAUCAAUAAUUAACAUCUACAAUAAUCGUAUGUUAUAAUAAAAAAAGUAACUAUUUAAAUUUCACAAAAAAAAAAAGAAAGGUCCUCAAUUAAUCUUCACGAAUUACAUAACUUAAAAGUGAGUUGUAACCGAGCUCGCACAAUGAUUCAGUGACUUUCAUCCGUGUAACGUUUGGAAAGUCGGCUUUUGACCGCGGCCCUUUUAGCGAAAUAAGAAUAUCUCGCUGGCCAUUGACCCCUUUCUCGACGAGCGGACAAGAGGAAACGCGGAUUCGGGAAACGGCUACAGGAGAGAACUUGGUCACGAAGGGAAAGAAGCGUAGAGAAAUGGAAGUGAAACGAGCCCGUGGCACGCCGGCUAUCCGUGCUAAUGAAAUGCAAGUUACGAGAACCCAUUAAGAACGCAACCGGCGAAUUCUACUUCUGUCGCAUUCUCGCGCGUGCUCGCGCCUUCAAUUCGCGAGAGAAUACAGGAAACGCCCUUGGACGUAAACCGGGAAAAAUCGGCCUUUCUUUUCUCCAAAUAGGCAAACGAACCGUUGGAAAGCCCGUUAACCGCGUUUCCAGGUUUACGCUUUGAUUUUUCAUAUUUAUUUUAGGAAUGCACCAGCUAUUUUAAGAACGACCCGUUAUAAAAUGUUACGCUUAACGCUCUACUUUCGAUCCCGAUCGAUUUAGAUCGUAUUACUAGGUGGAAAUUCCGCGGAAAUUAAUACGUCAGAUAGGAACCGCAUCGUGUAAGAUAGCAUUGAUGCAACAUCAGUCUGGUAUUGCAGAAACAACGGAUAAAUGGCAAGCCGUCUCAGAUUCGAUUUCGCAGCUCGUCUGGCGCAACGACUGUAUCUAAUAUAUAUAUAUAUUAAAAAAAAAAAUUGAAUUUAACCCUUGACCCACUUUAUUGCUCCCUAUUGUAAAUAAGUACACUAUACGAGUAGUGUGAUAGAAAUGAUUCCGGUUUCUACAUACCGGGUGGUAUACAUUGGAGGGUCGUUCUGACCCAGAUACAAAGAUAGAAUAUUACUUAUAGAACCUAUGGGAAAAAUGAAAUGCAUUUACUCAUGAAAGUGAAAUUUUAAAUUAUCGCCAUGCUAUACGCCCCAAAAUACUCGUUUUGCAAUCCCAUCAGUCAUCUUCAAGUUGUCUUCUUCUUUUUCGAACGUUAGUCACGAAGAUCACGGAGAUUACGAGAGUGCACCCACGCCCGAGGGCUUUAAUUAUCGUAACGAAGGGGUGCAUUCGUCUUAUGGUUAUCAAGGAGGUGCAAUCGAUCGAUAAAUUGAAGAAAUUCGACGACGCGCGGUUCAACUAAUUGCUGGGUUCGCGUGCUUAAACCGGCAAGAAACUGCAAGUUCUUCUGUUCGUUAUCACGCAACGGUAUUGCAUAACCUUUUCCCGUCGGCCAAUUAUUAAAACAGGCUAAUCGAGAAAUCGUCGUGACGGAAAGAGAAAAACAGCAAAGGAGACACCGCAAA